rnacentral:rRNA from 1 species
UACAUGUGGGGCAAGCGUUGUUCGGAAUUACUGGGCAUAAAGGGUGCGUAGGCGGCGCGUCAAGUCACUGGUGAAAGUUUGCGGCCCAACCGUAAAAUUGCCGGCGAUACUGGCGUGCUCGAGUGCGUGAGGGGUUGGGGGAACGAGUGGUGUAGCGGUGAAAUGCGUAGAGAUCACUCGGAAGGCCAGAGCCGAAGGGGCCCAACUGGUACGCAACUGACGCUGAGGCACGAAAGCGUGGGGAGCAAACAGG